rnacentral:rRNA from 1 species
UACGUAGGGUGCGAGCGUUAAUCGGAAUUACUGGGCGUAAAGUGUGCGCAGGCGGCCGAGCAAGUCGAGUGUGAAAGCCCCGAGCUUAACUUGGGAACUGCGCUCGAAACUACUUGGCUGGAGUGUGGCAGAGGAAGGUGGAAUUCCACGUGUAGCGGUGAAAUGCGUAGAGAUGUGGAGGAACACCGAUGGCGAAGGCAGCCUUCUGGGCCAACACUGACGCUCAUGCACGAAAGCGUGGGAGCAAACAGG